GCUCUGAUGAAGCCUUCAAUAAAGUCAAUUUAAAUUACCGCACUGAAAAUGGGCUGUCACUACUACAUUUAUGCUGCAUUUGUGGGGGCAACAAGUCACAUAUUCGAACCCUUAUGUUAAAAGGGCUCCGCCCAUCUCGACUGACAAGAAAUGGAUUUACAGCAUUGCAUUUGGCAGUUUACAAGGACAGUGCAGAAUUGAUCACAUCCCUGAUUCACAGUGGAGCUGAUAUACAGCAAGCUGGAUACGGUGGCCUCACUGCUCUCCACAUUGCUGUGAUAGCUGGUCACCUAGAGG